CUUGAGGGUUAUCAAGAGGAAGUUUGGAAAUCAAGAAGUUCAAUCUUUCUUUGGAAGUUUCGUAACAAGACAGGUUUUGCUUGGCCUAGUUGGCCGGUCGGUUAGCUUCUUCCGAACAAGAUAGCGUAAUAUCCCAAAAUUGACCAAUUUCCGCCGGCAGUUCCAAAGAACAUGAUGCUUUUAUUUUAUUUAUUUUUUAUUUUGAGUGUAUUGUGAGUUUUUAUUUUGUUGUAAUAUUCUCCUCAUCCCUCUCUAAUUUGGUUUGUAAUUAUUUUUUAAAAUGUUGUAAUAAUUCCCCACCCCGCUUCUUUUUAUCCCGUUCUUUAACUUGCUUUCUUUAUUUGUACAUAAACAUCAUAUUUAUUUUUCAUCAUAGUUAUGCUUUGCAUCCAUGUUUCAUG